UACCUGGCGGCGUGCCUACACAUGCAAGUCGAACGGAGUUGUUCCGCCGAUGAAGCUUCGGCCAAAUCAUGGAACAACUUAGUGGCGGACGGGUGAGUAACGCGUGGAUAACCUGCCCUGUACUGGGGGAUAGCAGCUGGAAACGGCUGGUAAUACCGCAUAAGCGCACGGUACUGCAUAGUAUAGUGUGAAAAACUCCGGUGGUACAGGAUGGGUCCGCGUCCGAUUAGCCAGUUGGCGGGGUAAAGGCCCACCAAAGCGACGAUCGGUAGCCGGCCUGAGAGGGCGGACGGCCACAUUGGGACUGAGACACGGCCCAGACUCCUACGGGAGGCAGCAGUGGGGGAUAUUGCACAAUGGGGGAAACCCUGAUGCAGCGACGCCGCGUGGGUGAAGAAGUAUUUCGGUAUGUAAAGCCCUAUCAGCAGGGACGAUGAUGACGGUACCUGAGUAAGAAGCCCCGGCUAACUACGUGCCAGCAGCCGCGGUAAU
rnacentral:rRNA from 1 species